rnacentral:rRNA from 1 species
UGGGGACACUGUUGGGACCGCCUCUGCUAAAGAGGAGGAAGGAAUGGGCAACGGUAGGUCAGCAUGCCCCGAAUUAUCUGGGCUACACGCGGGCUACAAUGGGUGGGACAAUGGGUAUCGACACCGAAAGGUGAAGGCAAUCUCCUAAACCCAUCCGUAGUUCGGAUUGUGGGCUGCAACUCGCCCACAUGAAGCUGGAAUCUGUAGUAAUCGUGUCUCAAAAUGGCACGGUGAAUAUGUCCCUGCUCCUU